UACGUAGGCAGCAAGCGUUGUUCGGAAUUACUGGGCGUAAAGGGCUCGUAGGCGGCCAACUAAGUCAGACGUGAAAUCCCUCGGCUUAACCGGGGAACUGCGUCUGAUACUGGAUGGCUUGAGUUCGGGAGAGGGAUGCGGAAUUCCAGGUGUAGCGGUGAAAUGCGUAGAUAUCUGGAGGAACACCGGUGGCGAAGGCGGCAUCCUGGACCGACACUGACGCUGAGGAGCGAAAGCCAGGGGAGCAAAGCGGGAUUAAGAUGACC
rnacentral:rRNA from 1 species